AAAGAUUUUCCAGAAAAUCUGAUUCCCUUCUUAGCCUUCAUUUUUGGUCCCAAUUCAACUAGAGGACCAAGAAACACUCGCCUAAAGCUUCCUCUACUUUACUAACUAAAUUCCAAUCCGAGUAUUGUUGAACGGUUCCCAGUGUAAUAGAUUCUUCACCUUCUCUGUAUAUCUGUUCAGGCAAUGUAAGGAUUUCACUCUCUGAAUCCAUCUGCAAAACAUGUUAUGAAACAUCGUCAGAUCUACUAUAAAAUCGACUAUAAAAUCGAUUAUAAAAACGGUUACCGUCGGAUCUAUCGAUAUCUCUGGGGAUUGUUUGCGUCGUAGAGAAAUGAUCUGAAUCCUUCAGCGAAGAACAAGUUUAUCGGAGAGGAAAUUCGUCGGCGAUUUUGGGGUUUCUCAGAGAGAAAUUUCGUCGGCGAUUUUCAGUGAAAUCGGAGAGGAAAUUCGUUGGCGAUUUUGAGUGAAAUCGGAGAGGAAAUUCGCCGGCGAUUUUGAGUGAAAUCGGAGAGGAAAUUCGCCGGCCAAAACGAAGAAGUUUGUGCCAAAACGAAGAAGUUUGUGCCAAAACGAAGAAGUUUGUGAAACGAAUGUGAAACCUAAUCAUUCAGUAAGAGUAAGACAGUCAUUUGCCAUAUUAGAAGGGGUAGUUUUAAAAAUGGCCUUCAGGAAAGGGCAUUUUUACAAAAGGUUAUUAGAAUAAGGGCAGUUUUGCAAAUAUCCCUAUUAUUAUUGUCCAUAAAACUUGU
rnacentral:sRNA from 1 species